rnacentral:rRNA from 2 species
UACAUGCAAGUCGAGCGAACUGAUUAGAAGCUUGCUUCUAUGACGUUAGCGGCGGACGGGUGAGUAACACGUGGGCAACCUGCCUGUAAGACUGGGAUAACUUCGGGAAACCGAAGCUAAUACCGGAUAGGAUCUUCUCCUUCAUGGGAGAUGAUUGAAAGAUGGUUUCGGCUAUCACUUACAGAUGGGCCCGCGGUGCAUUAGCUAGUUGGUGAGGUAACGGCUCACCAAGGCAACGAUGCAUAGCCGACCUGAGAGGGUGAUCGGCCACACUGGGACUGAGACACGGCCCAGACUCCUACGGGAGGCAGCAGUAGGGAAUCUUCCGCAAUGGACGAAAGUCUGACGGAGCAACGCCGCGUGAGUGAUGAAGGCUUUCGGGUCGUAAAACUCUGUUGUUAGGGAAGAACAAGUACAAGAGUAACUGCUUGUACCUUGACGGUACCUAACCAGAAAGCCACGGCUAACUACGUGCCAGCAGCCGCGGUAAUACGUAGGUGGCAAGCGUUAUCCGGAAUUAUUGGGCGUAAAGCGCGCGCAGGCGGUUUCUUAAGUCUGAUGUGAAAGCCCACGGCUCAACCGUGGAGGGUCAUUGGAAACUGGGGAACUUGAGUGCAGAAGAGAAAAGCGGAAUUCCACGUGUAGCGGUGAAAUGCGUAGAGAUGUGGAGGAACACCAGUGGCGAAGGCGGCUUUUUGGUCUGUAACUGACGCUGAGGCGCGAAAGCGUGGGGAGCAAACAGGAUUAGAUACCC